rfam:Fistulina hepatica ATCC 64428 unplaced genomic scaffold FISHEscaffold_4, whole genome shotgun sequence.
GGGCGCUUAGCUCAGGGGUAGAGCGCACGCUUUGCAUAGUCACAAUGGUUGGAGAAGAAUUUCUACGAAUGCGUGAGGUCGUGGGUUCAAUUCCCACAGUGUCCA